rnacentral:lncRNA from 10 species
CUGGGCUCAAGUGAUCCUCCCAGCUCGGCCUCCCAAAGUGUUGGGAUUGCAGUUGUGAACUACCCCACCCGGCCUAGGCCCACUUUUAAAAUGUUAAUUAAGAAGAAAACAUUUUUUCCUCACCAUAACUAAAGGAACUGACAACAUGAGCCUAGUUAGUAAUAACUUAAAGUUGAGAUUGUUUUAACUAUCAUAAAUAAUUUCUUUUCAAGAAGAUAUAAUACAAGUUUUUUAUUUAAAAAUUGUUAUAGAGUAACAUGUUAGUGACUAGCCUGAAUAAAUAAGUUCCAAAAGGUUAGUUUUAAUGAUAAUUUCUUAUCUUACAGGUGAAGCAUCCGGUUACUGGGCAAUUUCUAUAUCAGGACAGCAACUGGGCCAGCAAAGUUGAGAAACUCACUUUAGACAAUGCUGCUUUCCCUUUCCUUGCAUAUUCUGGAAUCCCAGCAGUUUCUUUCUGUUUUUGCGAGGUAAGUCUGUUCAUUUAAAUGACAAAUGGAGAGAGGCUCUCUAAAAGGAAGUGAUCUGUAUUUGGGAAUAGGG